UUUUUUUUCUUUUUGCAGUCCAAAACAUCAUAUAAUGAUGACCGAGGUAGUUUACCAGUAGGCUUAUAUAAGCAAGCUGUUUACUACUCCCUCCGUUUCAAAUUGCAUGUCGUUUUAGCUUUUCUAGAUACAUAGUGUUUGCUAUAUAUUAAAAGCCAAAACGACUUCCAAAUUAGGAGUAGUAGAGAACUAGGUAUAGGUACGGUUUCUAUGAUUUACAGGACCUUUCUCCAUAUCGUUUUUUUCCUAAAAGGUUUUUUUUUUGUUGAAAAGGAUUUCUCCAUCUCGUGGCAACGAAUUUCCACACCGAACCAGCAGGAGAUGGUGACUUGAGGACCCACUGCCAUAAACCUGAAUCCUAAAUAAAUAACGCCAACUUGACCGCAGCACCAAGCAAGAGGAUACAACCACUCCAGCACAAAAUUUCCACUCUGCAACCACUCCAGCACAAAAUUUCCAGUCUUGAUAUCACAUAUAUCCCCCAAAAAACUCCACCAAGAUCCAUCUCCACCUAUCCUGGUGAUUCUACAGAACUAUCGAUGCACAGAGUUUUGCCCCCAAAAAAAAUAAGAAGAAGAAAAUAAUGAGCGCAAAAGGAAACCCAGUAUCACUUCAUCACUUCUCACAAUGAUUCAUACCUCAGAUUCGGCGCUUCGAACCCUGCAAGAGGAGGAGGACCAACACUUGUUACUCGUCACGAUCCCAAGCGAAAGAUCCGGGGAGCGAGCCGGAUUCGAAGGGGGCAUGGAAAGGAAGCAAUCAAGUACCGAAGACGUCGGCGAUGAGGACGACGGCGGCCUUGGAGUCCUCGGCGCCGGCGACGUACGCCUUGAGCCCGCCGAAGCUGUCCACGACCUUCCCCGCCCCGCCGGCCGGGUCCAGCGCCGGCGGGUUCUCGCAGCACUGAGAGCUCGCCAUUCCUCUCUCUGUCCACUCUGUCGGAAUAUGGUGGUGGGCUGAGGCAAAGAUGGGCGCAGCAGAAGGGACGAGACGGGAGCAACGGACGGGGGAUGGUAUAAAUGGGGGACACGUAGAGAGAGUGCCGUGAUCGCGUGGGUUUUUCCAUCGAGGGAUGGCGAGCGCUGAGCGGCGAUUCGAGAUUCCAAAUUGCGUGGGGAACGAGCGGAGGGGGCCCGGCCGGCCGGCCGGCCGGCGGGGAGACCGGGAGAUGAGAAGGUUCGAGACUGCUGGGGGUUUCGGUCGCGGCGGAAGGGUCCAGUAGGCUAAUGAUGGCCUAUCGUACCCGAGGUCAGGAAUCUACGGGAGGACGUGGCCGGGUCCUGCGCCGAUGGAGGAGGGGGCGGAAGUGUGCAGUUGCCAGUCCAUCUGUUUGGAUACCGGGUAAGUACAUUGCUGCACGUCAGCGGUCUUACAGGUCGUCUCAUGCAGUGCCACGUAGGAUUUUUGAUGAUGUGGAGGAGAGAGCGAGGAGAGAGAAAGAGGUCGUUGCUUCACGAAACAACCACUUAUGAGCUAAAUUGUAGGACUACGAGAUAACUUAACAAUCAUUGUACGAGUUAUUGUUGCCAUGCAACUUAUAAUAUUUUAUUUUUCUUAUGCAUAAAUUAAGGAAUUAUGUACCACUACCAGACAACUUACAUGACAACCUAUUGUACAUGUUACCUGUUGAAUUGUCUCAAGAUUACGUGUCAAUGCAUGAGACCGCCUAUUAGACGACACUAAUGUACUUGCCCUUAUAAGUAUUGAAUGAGAUGGACAUUAUCAUGUUUGUCCCUAAUCAUGGAGAGAGAGGGAGGGCAACUAGGCAUUCAAUGAGGGCAAGAGGUGUAAAAUGCAUCUUUUAGUCCCCAUAAGCAACUCUUGUGUUGCUUAUGGGCUAAAAAUAAGCAGCCCCAUAAGCAACCUCAUAAGCAAGGGUGUUUGGUAUUUUUAGGCUAAAAGUUGCUUAUUUUAGUUGCUUAUGCAUAAGCAACUCAAACCAAACACCCCCUAAUGACACGAUGCGUAUUCGCAAUCCGCCCUCGAUCAGGGAUCACCGUUCACCAGCAUCACCGCGCUAGAGGGUAUUUGAUACUAGGUGCUAAACUUUAGCAGUGUCACAUUGAAUGUUCGGAUGCUAAUUAGGAGGACUAAACAUGAGCUAAUUACAAAACUAAUUACACAUAUGGAGUCUAAUUCGCGAGACGAAUCUAUUAAGGCUAAUUAAUCCAUCAUUAGCAAAUGGUUACUGUAGCACCACAUUGUCAAAUCAUAGACUAAUUAGGCUUAAUAUAUUCGUCUCGCGAAUUAGACUCCAUCUGUGCAAUUAGUUUUAUAAUUAGUUUAUAUUUAAUACUCCUAAUUAGUAUUUAAACAUAUGAUGUGACGGGUGCUAAAGCACCCUGAAGCCAAACAGGCUCACAAUACGCGGAGGAAUUACCGCAGCAAAUCAACCGGGGUUGGAUCAGCAGUGAUGUCACCUACUCACCGUGCUGUUGCCCCUUCCGAAGUUCCGAGAGAGGAUCUGGUGCUCGCUGUUGUGCAGUUGUCGGCGGCUCGAUGCGUUCCUGUUCUCAACGGCUGUCUCACUCACAGUGCACAGAUGUUUGUUGGGCUCAAGUAGGAGGGGAAAGAAUGUAUCCGCAGCCGGUGUUCACUCGGCAGCCCAUUCCCUCCCUCCCGGGCGUCAAGUAUUCGGCCCGCCCCUACCUCAUUUGCACCGCGGCCCAAUCCUCCUCUUCGCUAGAGGCCCGUUCCCAAUGCUUGUUUUUUUGCUUGGUAGUGUAGUGUGUGUUGGUUUGGCGAUGGAAGAUCUCUUUCUGUCACAUGGAUAAAUUGAUUAUCUGUGGGCUUCUGAGCCUUUUCAGCCAUCCCAUCUCUUCUUGUUGCACAAAUGUUCAAGAGCCCAGAGAGCUCAUGAGCAGAAGAAAGAGAGAUUAUUUCUAUUUUCAUCUUAUAUCUUUAAAGUAGUUCAUCCAAAAAAAAAUGGUAGAGCACACCGUACGCUUUCGCCAAUAUAAUCACGAUGCACUACUUGCGAUCAUGCCUUUGCAAGCCCAGGAGAA
rnacentral:lncRNA from 1 species